rnacentral:lncRNA from 1 species
AUGCCUCGAAGUAAGAAGAGUAAGGCCCGUGGUGGUGAUAAAUGCCCUCAAGCCCAAGGCCAGACCCAGAGUUGUGGGGGUGCUCAGGCCAUAGCAGCAGCAGAAGAGGAGUCGACUACCUCCUCUCUUCAGUGUGAAGAUACUACCCAGAGUCUGCCUGGUGCUGAGUCAUGUAGCACUUCGCAGGAGCCUCAAAGAAUACCAACCAUCGCCGCUGCUGCAGUCUUUUCUUACACUAGAUCUAGUGAAGCAUUCGAUGGCCAAUAUAAGUAUAGGGCACUUGCCUAUGAGGUCCCACCCUUCACUGAGACCCCAGGAACUGACUGUUUAACCAGGAAAGCUAGCUUGUUGGAGCAGUUCCUUCUGUACAAGUAUAAAAUGAAGCAGCUCAUGAUGAAGGAAGACAUGCUGAAGAUUAUCCACCAAAGCCACCAUGACCGAUUUGCCGAGAUUCUCAAGAGAGCCUCUGAGCGCAUUGAGCUAGUCUUUGCGGUAGAGCUGAAGGAAGUCGACUCAGUUGUUCCCUGCUAUAAUCUGGUCAGCAAAUUGAAACUCCCCAACAAUGGGAGGGUGCGUGGCGGAAGGGGUUUACCCAAGACUGGUCUCCUGAUGAAUCUCCUGGGUAUGAUCUUCCUGAAGGGCAACUGUGCCGCUGAGGAAGACAUCUGGAAAUACCUGGGCACGAUGCGAGUAUAUGCUGGAAGAAAGCACCUUAUCUAUGGAGAGCCCAGAAAGCUCAUCACCAAAGAUUUAGUGAGGCUGAAGUAUCUGGAGUACCGCCAGGUUGCCAACAGUGAUCCUCCACGUUAUGAGUUUCUCUGGGGCCCAAAAGCACAUCUUGAAACCAGCAAGAUGAAAGUCCUGGAAUUUUUGGCAAAGGUCAAUGAUGCUGUUCCCAGUGACUUCCCCGCUUAUUAUGAAGAAGCUUUGCGAGAUGAAGAAGAGAAAGCCCAAGGCAUGCAUGCAGCCAGGCCUGACACUACUGUCAAAGUCAGUACACCUCCCAGGGACAUGCUCAAUAUUAUCAUCCCACCCGUCAGGAAGUAUGUGAAGUUUUUACCCCCAGACAGGAAAAUAUAA